rnacentral:rRNA from 1 species
GACGAACGCUGGCGGCGUGCUUAACACAUGCAAGUCGAACGAUGAAGCCUAGCUUGCUAGGUGGAUUAGUGGCGAACGGGUGAGUAAUACGUGAGUAACCUACCUUUAACUCUGGGAUAAGCCUGGGAAACUGGGUCUAAUACCGGAUACGACCAAUCUCCGCAUGGGGUGUUGGUGGAAAGCGUUAUGUAGUGGUUAUAGAUGGGCUCACGGCCUAUCAGCUUGUUGGUGAGGUAACGGCUCACCAAGGCGACGACGGGUAGCCGGCCUGAGAGGGUGACCGGCCACACUGGGACUGAGAAACGGCCCAGACUCCUACGGGAGGCAGCAGUGGGGAAUAUUGCACAAUGGGCGCAAGCCUGAUGCAGCGACGCAGCGUGAGGGAUGACGGCCUUCGGGUUGUAAACCUCUGUUAGCAGGGAAGAAGAGAAAUUGACGGUACCUGCAGAGAAAGCGCCGGCUAACUACGUG